AUCCAAUUUUGUCUGGUAUGGAAUUAGUCUACAAUAGACAAAGGGAAGUAAUUUGUUUUAAAAGAAUGUAUUACAACAGAAUUAAAUUAGUAAUUGGCAGAUGGACCAUUUACAUAUUCACAUUCUCUUGUCACAGGAUUUGUAAUUGCAUGAGCAAUAAUUUCUGACUUGUGUCUCAUGUUGAGCAGGGAAAAAAUAUUGCAGGGGGGUGUUAAAAAAGAAAUUGUGUAAAAGGGGG
rnacentral:lncRNA from 1 species